CGAACGCUGGCGGCGUGCUUAACACAUGCAAGUCGAGCGGUAAGGCCCUUCGGGGUACACGAGCGGCGAACGGGUGAGUAACACGUGGGUGAUCUGCCUCGCACUUCGGGAUAAGCCUGGGAAACUGGGUCUAAUACCGGAUAUGACCUCUUGUCGCAUGGCUUGGGGUGGAAAGAUUUAUCGGUGCGAGAUGGGCCCGCGGCCUAUCAGCUUGUUGGUGGGGUAAUGGCCUACCAAGGCGACGACGGGUAGCCGGCCUGAGAGGGCGACCGGCCACACUGGGACUGAGACACGGCCCAGACUCCUACGGGAGGCAGCAGUGGGGAAUAUUGCACAAUGGGCGAAAGCCUGAUGCAGCGACGCCGCGUGAGGGAUGACGGCCUUCGGGUUGUAAACCUCUUUCGACAGGGACGAAGCGCAAGUGACGGUACCUGUAGAAGAAGCACCGGCCAACUACGUGCCAGCAGCCGCGGUAAUACGUAGGGUGCGAGCGUUGUCCGGAAUUACUGGGCGUAAAGAGCUUGUAGGCGGUUUGUCGCGUCGUCUGUGAAAACUCACAGCUCAACUGUGAGCUUGCAGGCGAUACGGGCAGACUUGAGUACUGCAGGGGAGACUGGAAUUCCUGGUGUAGCGGUGAAAUGCGCAGAUAUCAGGAGGAACACCGGUGGCGAAGGCGGGUCUCUGGGCAGUAACUGACGCUGAGAAGCGAAAGCGUGGGUAGCGAACAGGAUUAGAUACCCUGGUAGUCCACGCCGUAAACGGUGGGCGCUAGGUGUGGGUUUCCUUCCACGGGAUCCGUGCCGUAGCUAACGCAUUAAGCGCCCCGCCUGGGGAGUACGGCCGCAAGGCUAAAACUCAAAGGAAUUGACGGGGGCCCGCACAAGCGGCGGAGCAUGUGGAUUAAUUCGAUGCAACGCGAAGAACCUUACCUGGGUUUGACAUACACCGGAAACCUGCAGAGAUGUAGGCCCCCUUGUGGUCGGUGUACAGGUGGUGCAUGGCUGUCGUCAGCUCGUGUCGUGAGAUGUUGGGUUAAGUCCCGCAACGAGCGCAACCCUUGUCCUGUGUUGCCAGCACGUAAUGGUGGGGACUCGCAGGAGACUGCCGGGGUCAACUCGGAGGAAGGUGGGGACGACGUCAAGUCAUCAUGCCCCUUAUGUCCAGGGCUUCACACAUGCUACAAUGGCCCGGUACAGAGGGCUUGCGAUACCGUGAGGUGGAAGCGAAUCCCCUUAAAGCCCGGUCUCAGUUUCGGAUCGGGGGUCUGCCAACUCGACCCCCGUGAAAUUUGGAGUCCCCUAGUAAAUCGCCAAAUCAGCCAACGCCUGCCGGUGAAAUACGUUUCCCGGGCCCUUGUAACCCCCCGCCCCGUUCACGUUCAUGAAAAGUCCGGUAAACACCCCGAAAGCCCGGUG
rnacentral:rRNA from 1 species